rnacentral:rRNA from 1 species
CCUACAGGCGGCUGCAGUGGGGAAUAUUGGACAAUGGGGGCAACCCUGAUCCAGCCAUGCCGCGUGUGUGAAGAAGGCCCUCGGGUUGUAAAGCACUUUCAGUGAGGAAGAACGCCUGGUGGUUAAUACCCAUCAGGAAAGACAUCACUCACAGAAGAAGCACCGGCUAACUCCGUGCCAGCAGCCGCGGUAAUACGGAGGGUGCGAGCGUUAACCGGAAUUACUGGGCGUAAAGCGCGCGUAGGUGGCUUGAUAAGCCGGUUGUGAAAGCCCCGGGCUCAACCUGGGAACGGCAUCCGGAACUGUCAAGCUAGAGUGCAGGAGAGGAAGGUAGAAUUCCCGGUGUAGCGGUGAAAUGCGUAGAGAUCGGGAGGAAUACCAGUGGCGAAGGCGGCCUUCUGGACUGACACUGACACUGAGGUGCGAAAGCGUGGGUAGCAAACAGGAUUAGAUACCCGUGUAGUC